UGAGUACGAGACGCUAAGGCGUGGAAGUAGUGGAUGUCAUACUUCCAAGAAAUGCUUGCACUGUCAUAGAUAAAAAAUGCCUGUACCAUAACCGACACAGGUGGGUAAGUAGAGUAUACUAAGGGGCGCGAGAUAACUCUCUCUAAGGAACUCGGCAAAAUAACUCCGUAACUUCGGGAGAAGGAGUGCCUUAUUCUUAAGGUUGCAAUAACAAGAUCCAAGCAACUGUUUAUCAAAAACACAGGUCUCCGCUAAGUCGUAAGACGAUGUAUGGGGGCUGACGCCUGCCCAGUGCCAGAAGGUUAAAGAAGUCGGUUAGCAAUAGCAAAGCUGGUAACUGAAGCCCUGGUGAACGGCGGCCGUAACGAUAACGGUCCUAAGGUAGCGAAAUUCCUUGUCGGGUAAGUUCCGACCCGCACGAAAGGCGUAAUGAUUUGGAUGCUGUCUCGGAGAGGGGCUCGGUGAAAUAGACUUGUCUGUGAAGAUGCGGACUACCUGCACCAGGACAGAAAGACCCUAUGAAGCUUUACUGUAACUUGAAAUUGAAAUUGGACUUUAUUCGCGCAGUAUAGGUGGGAGGCGUUGAUUAUAAUCUUGUGGGAUUAUUGGAGCCAUCAGUGAGAUACCACUCUUGUAAUGUUAGAUUUCUAACUUUGAAUCAUUAUCUGGUCAAAGGACAGUUUCAGGCGGGCAGUUUGACUGGGGCGGUCGCCUCCUAAACGGUAACGGAGGCGUACAAAGGUUUCCUCUGAACGGUUAGAAAUCGUAUCUAGAGUGUAAAGGCAUAAGGAAGCUUGACUGUGAGACCUACAAGUCGAGCAGGGACGAAAGUCGGUCUUAGUGAUCUGACGGUACUGAGUGGAAAGGCCGUCACUCAACGGAUAAAAGUUACUCUAAGGAUAACAGGCUGAUCUCCCCCAAGAGUUCACAUCGACGGGGAGGUUUGGCACCUCGAUAUCGGCUCAUCGCAUCCUGGGGCGGUAGUACGUCCCAAGGGUUGGGCUGUUCGCCCAUGAAAGCGGUACGCGAGCUGGGUUCAGAACGUCGUGAGACAGUUCGGUCCAUAUCCGGUGUAGGCGCUAGAAUAUUGAGAGGAGCCUUCUUUGGUACGAGAGGACCGAGAAGGACAUACCUCUGGUGUACCAGUUAUCGUGCCAACGGUAAACGCUGGGUAGCUAUGUAUGGAGUGGAUAACCGCUGAACCCAUCUAAGUGGGAAGCCCACCUCAAGAUAAG
rnacentral:rRNA from 1 species